rnacentral:rRNA from 1 species
UGGGGAAUAUUGCACAAUGGGCGCAAGCCUGAUGCAGCCAUGCCGCGUGUGUGAAGAAGGCCUUCGGGUUGUAAAGCACUUUCAGCGAGGAGGAAGGUGGUGAGCUUAAUACGCUCAUCAAUUGACGUUACUCGCAGAAGAAGCACCGGCUAACUCCGUGCCAGCAGCCGCGGUAAUACGGAGGGUGCAAGCGUUAAUCGGAAUUACUGGGCGUAAAGCGCACGCAGGCGGUUUGUUAAGUCAGAUGUGAAAAUCCCCGGGCUCAACCUGGGAACUGCAUUUGAAACUGGCAAGCUAGAGUCUCGUAGAGGGGGGUAGAAUUCCAGGUGUAGCGGUGAAAUGCGUAGAGAUCUGGAGGAAUACCGGUGGCGAAGGCGGCCCCCUGGACGAAGACUGACGCUCAGGUGCGAAAGCGUGGGGAGCAAACAGAUUAGAUACCCUGGUAGUCCACGCUGUAAACGAUGUCGAUUUUGGAGGUUGUGCCCUUGAGGCGUGGCUUCCGGAGCUAACGCGUUAAAUCGA